CUGCGACUUGCCUGUCAAAUCAAGGGAAAUCUGCUUUGACAACAGUGGGGAGCCCAGCUGGAAAAAAAUAAACACAUCUUAAGUAAGGAAACGGUGACAUGUGAAAGUAAACGCCACUGCUUUUCGCUGAAGUGAAAGGCUUAAUGGAAAAGUAUCCAAGGACACGCGUAUACAACCACAAGGUAGAAAACACGGGCAGGAUGUAACUGAAAUUAAAGGAUCGUAUCUUAUCGAUGGGUUCACAUCUGCGAGGCCACAAAAUUAAAUGCCUCUAAAUAAUGUCUGUGGCAUUUUGGGGACCAAUGUCCUGCGGCUAAUAAAAAUACAUCCCCAAAAAGGGUUCACUUAUCGCUGGCCGAGACUUUUGAAAAAAAAACAAGCACUUACCCGUAAGAGAUGGCCAUCAAAAGUGACAGCCGGCGCCCGGAGAGUGGCUAAAAGCAAGCAUUCCUAUCUAGGAGACAUAAUACAAAUGGUUCCAAAUGGCCAGAACUGUAUCUCUCCUACGCCCCCACCGGUUGUUGCCCGGCAACAAAAUCACAUCAAAAUUUCUUCCUUGGAGGGAGAAAUUCUAAAAAUAAAAAAAUAUUGUAAAGACUGCAAUUUGAAUUGAACUUCGAUUUGGAGCACACAGACAAAUGUUUGGAUUUAAAAAAGUGUAAUCCGCUUUUUAUGGGACUCUAUUAUCUAAGAGAUGGCUCUUUGAAUGCAAAGGGAGAAGAACAUCCUUAAGCAAAUCACAAUUUCUUGCUCUUAAAAAUGGAUUUUAAAACCUUGUGCACAGUGUAUAAUACAUUUCCUUGUUCUCACUUUUAAAAUAUACAUUUUGAGUAAUUAAGUCUAA